CCUACGGGGGGCAGCAGUGAGGAAUAUUGGGCAAUGGGGGCAACCCUGACCCAGCCAUGCCGCGUGAGUGAAGAAGGUCUUCGGAUUGUAAAGCUCUUUCGGUCGUGACGAUGAUGACGGUAGCGUCUAAAGAGGCACCGGCAAACUUCGUGCCAGCAGCCGCGGUAAUACGAAGGGUGCGAGCGUUGUUCGGAUUUACUGGGUGUAAAGGGAGCGUGGACGGCAGGGCAAGACUGGAGUGAAAGGCGUGGGCUCAACCCCCGGACUGCUCUGGAAACUGUGCGGCUGGAGUGCAGGAGAGGUAAGUAGAAUUCCUAGUGUAGCGGUGAAAUGCGUAGAUAUUAGGAGGAACACCAGUGGCGAAGGCGGCUUACUGGACUGUAACUGACGUUGAGGCGCGAAAGCGUGGGGAGCAAACAGGAUUAGAUACCCGUGUAGUC
rnacentral:rRNA from 1 species